AUGGACGCAAGUCUGAUGGAGCAACGCCGCGUGAGUGAAGAAGGCUUUCGGGUCGUAAAACUCUGUUGUUGGAGAAGAAUGGUCGGCAGAGUAACUGUUGUCGGCGUGACGGUAUCCAACCAGAAAGCCACGGCUAACUACGUGCCAGCAGCCGCGGUAAUACGUAGGUGGCAAGCGUUAUCCGGAUUUAUUGGGCGUAAAGCGAGCGCAGGCGGUUUUUUAAGUCUGAUGUGAAAGCCCUCGGCUUAACCGAGGAAGCGCAUCGGAAACUGGGAAACUUGAGUGCAGAAGAGGACAGUGGAACUCCAUGUGUAGCGGUGAAAUGCGUAGAUAUAUGGAAGAACACCAGUGGCGAAGGCGGCUGUCUGGUCUGUAACUGACGCUGAGGCUCGAAAGCAUGGGUAGCGAACAGGAUUAGGAUACCCUGGUAGUCCAUGCCGUAAACGAUGAAUGCUAGGUGUCGGAGGGUUUCCGCCCUUCAGUGCCGCAGCUAACGCAUUAAGCAUUCCGCCUGGGGAGUACGACCGCAAGGUUGAAACUCAAAGGAAUUGACGGGGGCCCGCACAAGCCGUGGAGCAUGUGGUUUAAUUCGAAGCAACGCGAAGAACCUUACCAGGUCUUGACAUCUUUUGAUC
rnacentral:rRNA from 2 species